CUACGGGCCGCAGCAGGCGCGAAACCUUUACAAUGCACGCAAGUGUGAUAAGGGGAUCCUAAGUGCUCAUGCAUUGCAUGGGCUUUUGCCAAGAGUAAAUAUCUUGGCGAAUAAGUGGUGGGUAAGACUGGUGCCAGCCGCCGCGGUAACACCAGCGCCACGAGUGGCAACCACGUUUAUUGGGCCUAAAGCGUCCGUAGCCGGUUUGGUAAAUUUCUUGUGAAAUCGACAGGCUUAACUUGUCGGCGCGCUUGAAACACUGCCAAACUUGAGACCGGGAGGAGUCAGAGGUAUUCCAGAGGGAGCGGUAAAAUGUGAUAAUCUCUGGAGGAUCACCUAUGGCGAAGGCAUCUGACCAGAACGGAUCUGACGGUGAGGGACGAAGGCUAGGGGAGCGAUCCGGAUUAGAUACCCCCGUAGUC
rnacentral:rRNA from 1 species